rnacentral:lncRNA from 1 species
CACACACACUAAUUGAGGGUCGGAAAUAGGGAUCACAUUGUCUUCCCUAACGACAGUUAAUAUAAUAACUAUUUAAAUAGCUAUUUAAAUAGGGAAACUUCGCAAUGUAAAAUAUCCCUAAAAUAUCAUAGGUUCAUUAAUAAGAAAAACCAUAAUGUAUCGUGUCAUAUUUAGCUGACGGUUUGUGUUUCCUUCAAUCAACGCUAUCUUACCAACAAACGGG